UACGUAGGCAGCGAGCGUUGUUCGGAGUUACUGGGCGUAAAGCGUGCGUAGGCGGUGUCUUAAGUUUGUUGUGAAAUCUCCCGGCUUAACCGGGAGGGUGCGGCGAAUACUGAGAUGCUGGAGUGCCGGAGAGGUAAGCGGAAUUCCCGGUGUAGAGGUGAAAUUCGUAGAUAUCGGGAGGAACACCAGUGGCGAAGGCGGCGAUCUGGGAAGAUACUGACGCUGAGGUGCGAAAGCGUGGGGAGCAAACAGG
rnacentral:rRNA from 1 species